AUGAAGAAAUCUUGUGCCUGCAAGAUUUGCGGAGAAAUAGGACACACCAAUGAAGAACACAAGGAUAGAUGCCCUCAUUGUGACGGAAAUCACCCAGCUGAAGAAUGCCUAACUGGGCAGGUUACUUGUUUCCUGUGUGAAGGAACUACGCACUACCCUGCUCAAUGUCAGAUUUACCCCAAGGUACAAGAAAUUACCAAGCAGCGUAAGGAAGCCAUGAAAGAAGCCCUCAGGGAAAGUUUAGAAGAACCCGUGAUGGAGGAAGUUAUUGAAGAUCCUGAUGGUGAAGGCCUAAACAGAUUUUUCGCCCAAGCCUGCUACUCAUGUGGAGAAGAAGGACAUUUUUCAGAGUAUUGCACGAAGGAAAGCCAAGAGUAUCUCGGAGACUUCCCGACAGCAGAAGUGAACUUUGACCCUCAAGAAAUAGAAGCUCUGAUCAUUACGGAGAAAUCCAGGAAGAGAAAACGAAGGCAUCCUCAGAACAACCCAAUUUUUGCAGAGAAGGACCCGAGUCAUAUCACUUGUUACAGAUGCAAGGAUUUAGGUCAUUAUGCUAGCAAAUGCCCAGCAAGGAAGCCAACAACCCAAGGAGCCAAGAUAACCACUAGGAAGCCCCUGGAUUUGUCUGAAGUCUUUUGUUUACGCUGCAAAGGAGUAGGAAAUUUUCCCAAAGAAUGUUCAGACCGAGGAAAGCUUGAGCAGAGUAGUUGA
rnacentral:rRNA from 1 species